rnacentral:rRNA from 1 species
AAAUCCCCGGGCUCAACCUGGGAACUGCAUUCGAAACUGGCAGGCUUGAGUCUUGUAGAGGGGGGUAGAAUUCCAGGUGUAGCGGUGAAAUGCGUAGAGAUCUGGAGGAAUACCGGUGGCGAAGGCGGCCCCCUGGACAAAGACUGACGCUCAGGUGCGAAAGCGUGGGGAGCAAACAGGAUUAGAUACCCUGGUAGUCCACGCCGUAAACGAUGUCUACUUGGAGGUUGUGCCCUUGAGGCGUGGCUUCCGGAGCUAACGCGUUAAGUAGACCGCCUGGGGAGUACGGCCGCAAGGUUAAAACUCAAAUGAAUUGACGGGGGCCCGCACAAGCGGUGGAGCAUGUGGUUUAAUUCGAUGCAACGCGAAGAACCUUACCUGGUCUUGACAUCCACAGAACUUUCCAGAGAUGGAUUGGUGCCUUCGGGAACUGUGAGACAGGUGCUGCAUGGCUGUCGUCAGCUCGUGUUGUGAAAUGUUGGGUUAAGUCCCGCAACGAGCGCAACCCUUAUCCUUUGUUGCCAGCGGUUAGGCCGGGAACUCAAAGGAGACUGCCAGUGAUAAACUGGAGGAAGGUGGGGAUGACGUCAAGUCAUCAUGGCCCUUACGACCAGGGCUACACACGUGCUACAAUGGCGCAUACAAAGAGAAGCGACCUCGCGAGAGCAAGCGGACCUCAUAAAGUGCGUCGUAGUCCGGAUUGGAGUCUGCAACUCGACUCCAUGAAGUCGGAAUCGCUAGUAAUCGUGGAUCAGAAUGCCACGGUGAAUACGUUCCCGGGCCUUGUACACACCGCCCGUCACACCAUGGGAGUGGGUUGCAAAAGAAGUAGGUAGCUUAACCUUCGGGAGGGCGCUUACCACUUUGUGAUUCAUGACUGGGGUGAAGUCGUAACAAGGUAACCGUAGGGGAACCUGCGGUUGGAUCACCUCCUUACCUUAAAGAA